rnacentral:tRNA from 1 species
GGGGAUAUAGCUCAGUUGGUAGAGUGCUUGCCUAGCAUGCACAAGGUCCUGGGCUCAAUCCCCAGCACCACCA